rnacentral:rRNA from 1 species
GAUGAACGCUGGCGGCGUGCUUAACACAUGCAAGUCGAACGAAGCAUUUGCGACAGAUUUUUUCGGAAUGAAGUUGCUUAUGACUGAGUGGCGGACGGGUGAGUAACGCGUGGGUAACCUGCCUUGUACUGGGGGAUAGCAGCUGGAAACGGCUGGUAAUACCGCAUAAGCGCACAAUGUUGCAUGACAUGGUGUGAAAAACUCCGGUGGUAUAAGAUGGACCCGCGUCUGAUUAGCUAGUUGGUGAGAUAACAGCCCACCAAGGCGACGAUCAGUAGCCGACCUGAGAGGGUGACCGGCCACAUUGGGACUGAGACACGGCCCAGACUCCUACGGGAGGCAGCAGUGGGGAAUAUUGCACAAUGGACGAAACUCUGAUGCAGCGACGCCGCGUGAGUGAAGAAGUAAUUCGUUAUGUAAAGCUCUAUCAGCAGGGAAGAUAGUGACGGUACCUGACUAAGAAGCUCCGGCUAAAUACGUG